rnacentral:rRNA from 1 species
UACGUAGGGUGCUAGCGUUGUCCGGAUUUAUUGGGCGUAAAGGGCUCGUAGGCGGCCUGUCGCGUCGACUGUGAAAACCCGCAGCUCAACUGCGGGACUGCAGUCGAUACGGGCAGGCUAGAGUUCGGUAGGGGAGACUGGAAUUCCUGGUGUAGCGGUGAAAUGCGCAGAUAUCAGGAGGAACACCGGUGGCGAAGGCGGAGUCUCUGGACAGUUACUGACACUGAGGCACGAAGGCCAGGGGAGCAAACGGG